rnacentral:hammerhead_ribozyme from 1 species
AUUCAGUUAACGGGUCCGAAAUAGGACGAAACGUGCGUCGUGAAU